AUCACAAGCAAAUGGCUAAACUCUCAUCAACUUUGUGUUUUUUGCUCCUUGUUUGUGUACUAGGUACUAAUGAAAUUCGUGAUACGGCUAGCAAUGUAAUAGUACCAAAUCGUAAAUGCUUAAGUAUUUUGGGUAUAUGCGGUUCUAAAGUUUGUGACGAACAUUGUUGUGAGAAUAAAUGUUUAAAUAAAUUCCAGUCACAAAAUCCAAGUGGUGCUUGUGAGUUGUUCCCUGGCUCUGGAUUGGUAAUUUGUAAUUGUUACCAUGAUUGUGGUAAUUAGAACACACACAAAAAAAAUGAAUAAAACUUUUUAAUUCAA